UUCUUUCUCUUCUUUCUUUCUCUUCUUUCUCUCUCUUCUCAUUUUCGUGGAGAAAAAAAGAGACAAGGAAGACAGAAACGGGAUGGCUUCUUUCUCUUUUCAGAGAAAGGGAGAGA
rnacentral:ribozyme from 13 species